CUAAGUUGGCAGGGAUGUCCUCUGCAGUUCCAGUACUGGCACAGUCAUUUCCAGAUGAGCACACUGAUAGUCACACCUGAGUUAUACUGUUUGCAAGUCAUCACAGGUGCUGGGCUAACUUAGCCCAACUCCGUCCCUUUCCUUCUCCCUCUUUCCUGUUCUUACCCCCUCUCCAGACUCCAUCCUGUGAUCAUCAGUGAGGAUGAAUUGUGUCCUUUACUUCAAGGUGGUUCUCAGAGUGUGGCACUGGGGCCCCUAGCAUCUGGAUUAGCAGGGUGCUCAAAAUGCAAAUCCCCAGGCUCAGCUCAGACCUAGGGAAUCUGACACACACUCAGCAUACAGAACAGCCACCCAGGCCCUCAGAGGGACUCGAAGGCUUCAAGCACUGCUUUGUCACCAUGUCUGUGAGAGUCGGAGUAAGCGAAACCCUGUCCAUAGCAGAGAGGCAAGGAAGAAGGGUGCCAUGAGGAAUGGGGCCAAACAAUCCCGUGACACGUGGCAACAGUGGUCGGUGAAGACAGAUGAAAUAAUCAAACGAAAAGCCAUGUAGUAACUGAAUAACAUAAAUAUACAUGUGGAGAAGGAAAUAAAAUAAGCUAAUAUACAAGUGGCAAGGGAAGAGAAGAAACAGCAAGUGACAAAGGGUAAGAGAAGGCUUGGGGGAGGAAGAGGAGGCCAGAGUGGCCAGAGUGUGUAACUGAGGGGAAGGGAGGCCACAGGACAGGCCGGUGUGGAAGCUGGGACCAGCUCACAAAGUCUGUUUGCCAUGGGCUUGAAGGAGCUUGACUUUCUUCUCUGUGUUUCAGGAGGAAAGGACGUCUCUGGCUGGUGUGAAGAUGGGGGAAACUGGGGCUUUGAGGGAUACAAGCAUCGUUUCUUCUGCUAUAGGCUUGGUAUUGUUGACUGAAUCUGCCCAAAGGACCCAGAGAACUCCUGUGGCAGACCCGGGAGCAUGGUGUGGAAAGACCUCACUGAUGUGUGCUUACAUGUGGUUGGAUUGGAACCUUCCCUCUCUACUCUGAAGCUUCCCUGAAGGUUCUUGAUGAGAAGUUUGUCAACCUCUAGAUUACCCGGAAAAGAAACUUUAAGUUGGGUCAACUGGCUCUCUGAGUAUAAUGCAUGGAGCGAGCCACUUAACCUCUCCGAGGGUCGGUUACUUUGUAAAAUAGGGUUCAGCCUUGCCGGUCUACUGUAGGAUUAUGAAUAUUACAGUAAGAUGAAUAAAUGAUAGCCCCUGACAUACAUCUCAUCGUUAAGUCACCUUUUUGUGUGUUGACAGCCUCCUCUGACUCCCUCUGUUACACAGACAUUGUAGUGCUCCAGCAGCUCCUCUCCAUCCUCAUGGGAAAGCUGUGCUCCCACAGGUCACC
rnacentral:sRNA from 1 species